UGGGGAAUAUUGCACAAUGGGCGAAAGCCUGAUGCAGCGACGCCGCGUGAGGGAUGACGGCCUUCGGGUUGUAAACCUCUUUCAGUAGGGACGAAGCGCAAGUGACGGUACCUGCAGAAGAAGCACCGGCUAACUACGUGCCAGCAGCCGCGGUAAUACGUAGGGUGCGAGCGUUAUCCGGAAUUACUGGGCGUAAAGAGCUCGUAGGCGGUUUGUCACGUCGUCUGUGAAAUCCUAGGGCUUAACCCUGGACGUGCAGGCGAUACGGGCUGACUUGAGUACUACAGGGGAGACUGGAAUUUCUGGUGUAGCGGUGGAAUGCACAGAUAUCAGGAAGAACACCGAUGGCGAAGGCAGGUCUCUGGGUAGUAACUGACGCUGAGGAGCGAAAGCAUGGGUAGCGAACAGG
rnacentral:rRNA from 1 species